rnacentral:rRNA from 1 species
GAUGAACGCUGGCGGCGUGCCUAAUACAUGCAAGUCGAGCGAACGGACGAGAAGCUUGCUUCUCUGAUGUUAGCGGCGGACGGGUGAGUAACACGUGGAUAACCUACCUAUAAGACUGGGAUAACUUCGGGAAACCGGAGCUAAUACCGGAUAAUAUUUUGAACCGCAUGGUUCAAAAGUGAGAGACGGUCUUGCUGUCAGUUCUAGAUGGAUCUGCGCUGCAUUAGCUAGUUGGUAAGGUAACGGCUUACCAAGGCAACGAUGCAUAGCCGACCUGAGAGGGUGAGCGGCCACACUGGAACUGAGACGCGGUCCAGACUCCUACGAGAGGCAGCAGUAGGGAAUCUUCCGCAAUGGGCGAAAGCCUGACGGAGCAACGCCGCGUGAGUGAUGAAGGUCUUCGGAUCGUAAAACUCUGUUAUUAGGGAAGAACAUAUGUGUAAGUAACUGUGCACAUCUUGACGGUACCUAAUCAGAAAGCCACGGCUAACUACGUG